rnacentral:rRNA from 1 species
AGUGAACGCUGGCGGUAGGCCUAACACAUGCAAGUCGAACGGCAGCACAGGAGAGCUUGCUCUCUGGGUGGCGAGUGGCGGACGGGUGAGGAAUACAUCGGAAUCUACUCUGUCGUGAGGGAUAACGUAGGGAAACUUACGCUAAUACCGCAUACGACCUACGGGUGAAAGCAGGGGAUCUUCGGACCUUGCGCGAUUGAAUGAGCCGAUGUCGGAUGAGCUAGUUGGCGGGGUAAAGGCCCACCAAGGCGACGAUCCGUAGCUGGUCUGAGAGGAUGAUCAGCCACACUGGAACUGAGACACGGUCCGGACUCCUACGGGAGGCAGCAGUGGGGAAUAUUGGACAAUGGGCGCAAGCCUGAUCCAGCCAUACCGCGUGGGUGAAGAAGGCCUUCGGGUUGUAAAACCCUUUUGUUGGGAAAGAAAUCCAGCUGGCUAAUACCCGGUUGGGAUGACGGUACCCAAAGAAUAAGCACCGGCUAACUUCGUGCCAGCCGCCGCAGUAA